rnacentral:rRNA from 1 species
UACGAAGGGGGCUAGCGUUGUUCGGAAUUACUGGGCGUAAAGCGCACAUAGGCGGAUUGUUUAGUGAGGGGUGAAAUCCCAGGGCUCAACCCUGGAACUGCCUCUCAUACUGGCAAUCUCGAGUUCGAGAGAGGUGAGUGGAAUUCCGAGUGUAGAGGUGAAAUUCGUAGAUAUUCGGAGGAACACCAGUGGCGAAGGCGGCUCACUGGCUCGAUACUGACGCUGAGGUGCGAAAGCGUGGGGAGCAAACAGGAUUAGAUA